GGAUGUGAGGGCGAUCUGGCUGCGACAUCUGUCACCCCAUUGAUCGCCAGGGUUGAUUCGGCUGAUCUGGCUGGCUAGGCGGGUGUCCCCUUCCUCCCUCACCGCUCCAUGUGCGUCCCUCCCGAAGCUGCGCGCUCGGUCGAAGAGGACGACCAUCCCCGCUAGAGGAGGACCGGUCUUCGGUCAAGGGUAUACGAGUAGCUGCGCUCCCCUGCUAGAACCUCCAAACAAGCUCUCAAGGUCCAUUUGUAGGAGAACGUAGGGUAGUCAAGCUUCCAAGACUCCAGACACAUCCAAAUGAGGCGCUGCAUGUGGCAGUCUGCCUUUCUUU
rnacentral:snRNA from 8 species